GGAAUCCACAUCAACUAGAAAAAAACUGGAAACAUUUGAAGAGGCAUUGGGAUCACAAAGAGAGUGAAUCUAAACAUUGAACAGCAGACAGACAAGAUAAACCUAGGCAGAGAGAAAACUUGCCUCAAUCUUGGAUUAAAUGCAGAGGUCUGCUUGAACAUUCCAAGGUCAAACUAAAAGUCUACAAGAGCAGGAGACUUGAUUCAAAACAGCUCGUCUCUGACUGGUUUUCAUGUGGGCAGAGGGGACUCUCUCGACACUAAGAUGACCACAGCUCACAUAGAGGUGUCAGCUGAAAUAUGGAGGAUUACCACUACUGUAGAAGAUGUCCUAUGCAAAAAAAAAAAAAACCAGCAUAAGCUAAUGAAAAUAUAUAGUGGUCACUUAUUCGGACAUUACAUGUCCUCAAGUCCUACAAAUUAUUUGCUGCUCAAAAGAACACACGUUUAUUAUCUCAGAACUUCCAUGGGUCCGGAAUUCAGACACAGCUUACCU
rnacentral:lncRNA from 1 species